rnacentral:lncRNA from 1 species
AUGUGCGUGCUGCACCAGCUCCCCGUGCGGCGUGCAGGUGUGCCCACCUCUGCUGCCCCUGAGGGCCCUCUGUGCCUCGGCUGGGCACUGAGCUCUGGGUGGGACACGGCCCCAACCGUGCCUCGCCCCCCCACAGGGCAAACCCGAAAGGGCCGGGGCCCCGGGCACACAUCCAGGAGCCCAGGCUGGCUCUCGGCCAGGGGCCUGCCCCGUCUGCCCGGUGUGGCCAGGCCGCCCGGCCCAGGGUGGUGCUCAGGGCCCAGAUGCUGGCGGGGAUGUGGGGGACCAAGGCCCUCCUCCGGGUGCAGGGCAGUGGGUGGCCAGUGGACAGGUUGGAUAAGCGUCUCAGAAAGCAAACGAUGCCGCGGAAGUAGGACAGAGCCAUGGUGGGGAGGGCGUCGGAGUGCGGUGUUCCGGGCAGGCAAGGUGAGGCAUUCUGGAAAGGCGGGCAGGUGGGGGGCAGGAGCCUGUGCAGGUAAAACGGGGGGACGAGUGGGGCUGGCUGAGGGCAGAAGGCCACGGGGACUGGCGGGAGGUGGCACCCGGGCAGGGAGCGCCGUGUUCUGGAAGGCUCCUGAGGCAGAACUAAGGCUUCCUAAGCGGCCGAAGGGGCUGAGGAGGGUCCAGGCGGGCAGGACGGCGUUGGCCCUGGCUUGGGAAGGUCACUCGCCCUCCGUGGGCGACAGGGCUGCACAGGGCAGGAGGGUCCCACGGGGCGUGCGGGGGAUGGGGACCUGGGCCCGACCUGCUGCUCCCGGGCCCGGCGCAGGCCGCCCUCCUGGUCUCUCCUGGAACACGGCCUGGGGCAGAGCCGGGGGUAAGGGGCUCCCGGCGCCGGCCCCCCCACCCGGCCUGCCCGCUGUGAGCAGGGGAACCGAGGCUUCAGGAGCCGGGGCGGGCACCUGGGGGCGCAGAGCCUGCGGCGGACAGGCCGGCCAGUGGCUGCAAGGGGCACCCCGCGCCCCUCAGCUCGCGUUCAGGGUGGGAGCCGGGGCCCAGCAGCCCCAGGGACUGCGCCCUUUGCACGCCCCGUGCGAUCACUCCCGCGUGGCCUCGACGCCCGCCUGUGAGCAAACUUGGGGGCGGGUUCACCCCAAGAAGUGGGGUCCGGCCGGCGGCCCCAAGGUUCGCAGCUGCGGCCCCUGCGGCCCAGGUGGGUGA